rnacentral:rRNA from 1 species
UACGAAGGGGGCUAGCGUUGCUCGGAAUCACUGGGCGUAAAGCGCACGUAGGCGGGUCGUUAAGUCGGGGGUGAAAUCCUGGAGCUCAACUCCAGAACUGCCUUCGAUACUGGCGAUCUUGGAGUCCGGGAGAGGUGAGUGGAACUGCGAGUGUAGAGGUGAAAUUCGUAGAUAUUCGCAAGAACACCAGUGGCGAAGGCGGCUCACUGGCCCGGUACUGACGCUGAGGUGCGAAAGCGUGGGGAGCAAACAGG